UACGGGGGGGGCAAGCGUUGUUCGGAAUUACUGGGCGUAAAGGGCUCGUAGGCGGCCAACUAAGUCAGACGUGAAAUCCCUCGGCUUAACCGGGGAACUGCGUCUGAUACUGGGUGGCUUGAAUCCGGGAGAGGGAUGCGGAAUUCCAGGUGUAGCGGUGAAAUGCGUAGAUAUCUGGAGGAACACCGGUGGCGAAGGCGGCAUCCUGGACCGGCAUUGACGCUGAGGAGCGAAAGCCAGGGGAGCAAACGGG
rnacentral:rRNA from 1 species